CACCAGCUGACAGAGUGGAAAGUUAAUCUGAUGAUUAUUGGCCGGCUGGAUAUUAAACAAAAAACACAAUUUGAAUGACAGCAAAGUAGUCACCCUCAGGCAAUCAUUUGUUUUUCUUUUUUUCUUUUUAGAAGAAUAAUGAUCAAAGGUGGGUUUGGACGGAUAACACAUACUAUAUUUUCUCCAGUUGGGCUAAUGGCCAGCCUGACAACUUCAUGUUGAGAGAGAGUUGCGUUGAGAUGAACUACUGGGACUGGGGACUCUGGAACGAUGCGGCCUGUAAUGACCAGAAGCCGUACGUGUGUCAAGUACCUGUCUAGUAGUUCAGAGAGAACCUGAAGAGCAGCAGUGGGACCAGCCGGCUUCAACUGUAACCACUGCAAGCUUUUACAUUUACUGCAAUAAAUAUUCAGCAUCAGACAACAUGUUGAUGGUUCCUGGUUCUUUUCCUGUUUGUCACUGCCAGUGAUCCAUCUGUCCUGAUGUGAUAGGGAUGUCCAUUAAUUACUGACAUUUUCUGAUGAAGGUUAGCCUACUUUAAGCAAUGAUACACUAGAGCAGUGCUUCUCAAUCUUUUUUCAAUAAUGUACCCCCUAUCAAUUUAUUUCUCAGCCAAGUACCCCCUGACCGGCCCCAAACAUUUGAGAUAAAAAUAAAGCCUAUGACUACGAUAUAGUGAUGUCAUCAGCAUGAGAUUUAUUAAACAUUGUAAAUAAAAACAUCUGCAAAAAACAAUGUAAUAACCAAUCAUGCAGAUCAAGUACCCCUUUCCUGGCCCCGAACAUGUUUGAUUAAAAAAACUAUAUAAAAUAACAUAUACAUGUAUGUCUAUAUAUUAUACAUACCCGUAUUAUAGUGCCUGUAUGUGACCUCAGACAGUGCGUUUCCCUUUCGCACAAAAGAAGAGAUGUGGAAGUUACCAACAAAACGGACAGCGAAAGAUAUUUCCGACCAUCCUGCCAACCUGUACACAUUUUAACAUCAAUGUACGCUGUAACGUCUCUAAAGUCACUGAAGCUGCUGCUGUUUACAUCCUGUCGUCUCUGCAGCGGGGGGGCUGCUCCGUUCCCCCCGCGACUGACGCACACACUGGAGGCAGGAAAAACAAAACACAGCUGGCUAAACUAUUUAAAAAUGGUGGGUUUGUUCAGGACACCCCCCUCUGUCGCUUUCUCGUCACCUUUUGGGAUCGGCUCAGCUC